rnacentral:rRNA from 1 species
CUGUGUGUUGUUGGGUAGGGGAGCGUUCUGUAAGCCUGCGAAGGUGGCCUGUGAGGGUUGCUGGAGGUAUCAGAAGUGCGAAUGCUGACAUAAGUAACGAUAAAGCGGGUGAAAAGCCCGCUCGCCGGAAGACCAAGGGUUCCUGUCCAACGUUAAUCGGGGCAGGGUGAGUCGACCCCUAAGGCGAGGCCGAAAGGCGUAGUCGAUGGGAAACGGGUUAAUAUUCCCGUACUUGGUGUUACUGCGAAGGGGGGACGGAGAAGGCUAUGUUGGCCGGGCGACGGUUGUCCCGGUUUAAGCGUGUAGGCUGGUUUUCCAGGCAAAUCCGGAAAAUCAAGGCUGAGGCGUGAUGACGAGGCACUACGGUGCUGAAGCAACAAAUGCCCUGCUUCCAGGAAAAGCCUCUAAGCAUCAGGUAACAUCAAAUCGUACCCCAAACCGACACAGGUGGUCAGGUAGAGAAUACCAAGGCGCUUGAGAGAACUCGGGUGAAGGAACUAGGCAAAAUGGUGCCGUAACUUCGGGAGAAGGCACGCUGACACGUAGGUGAAGUGAUUUACUCAUGGAGCUGAAGUCAGUCGAAGAUACCAGCUGGCUGCAACUGUUUAUUAAAAACACAGCACUGUGCAAACACGAAAGUGGACGUAUACGGUGUGACGCCUGCCCGGUGCCGGAAGGUUAAUUGAUGGGGUCAGCGCAAGCGAAGCUCCUGAUCGAAGCCCCGGUAAACGGCGGCCGUAACUAUAACGGUCCUAAGGUAGCGAAAUUCCUUGUCGGGUAAGUUCCGACCUGCACGAAUGGCGUAAUGAUGGCCAGGCUGUCUCCACCCGAGACUCAGUGAAAUUGAACUCGCUGUGAAGAUGCAGUGUACCCGCGGCAAGACGGAAAGACCCCGUGAACCUUUACUAUAGCUUGACACUGAACAUUGAGCCUUGAUGUGUAGGAUAGGUGGGAGGCUUUGAAGUGUGGACGCCAGUCUGCAUGGAGCCGACCUUGAAAUACCACCCUUUAAUGUUUGAUGUUCUAACGUGGACCCGUUACCCGGGUUGCGGACAGUGUCUGGUGGGUAGUUUGACUGGGGCGGUCUCCUCCUAAAGAGUAACGGAGGAGCACGAAGGUUGGCUAAUCCUGGUCGGACAUCAGGAGGUUAGUGCAAUGGCAUAAGCCAGCUUGACUGCGAGCGUGACGGCGCGAGCAGGUGCGAAAGCAGGUCAUAGUGAUCCGGUGGUUCUGAAUGGAAGGGCCAUCGCUCAACGGAUAAAAGGUACUCCGGGGAUAACAGGCUGAUACCGCCCAAGAGUUCAUAUCGACGGCGGUGUUUGGCACCUCGAUGUCGGCUCAUCACAUCCUGGGGCUGAAGUAGGUCCCAAGGGUAUGGCUGUUCGCCAUUUAAAGUGGUACGCGAGCUGGGUUUAGAACGUCGUGAGACAGUUCGGUCCCUAUCUGCCGUGGGCGCUGGAGAACUGAGGGGGGCUGCUCCUAGUACGAGAGGACCGGAGUGGACGCAUCACUGGUGUUCGGGUUGUCAUGCCAAUGGCACUGCCCGGUAGCUAAAUGCGGAAGAGAUAAGUGCUGAAAGCAUCUAAGCACGAAACUUGCCCCGA